rnacentral:lncRNA from 1 species
UGAAGCCCUUAGAAGCAGCGAUUAGCCUGUGAAGCUGUGUAGUCCAGCUUGGAAGCUUUUUCUAAAGCAGCAACUGCAGAAUUUACUGGCCAUCCAUAUUAGAAAUGAUGGGACUAGCUAUUACUGCACUAUCAUGGCACAGUGCAUGUCAUCUGAUACCUCCUGCCUCCUUUUCUGGUGUUGCUGAACACGGAAGAAAGCGGGGCGAGAGGUACAGAUCUAGGAAUUAUGGCAAUUUUCCUGUAUAUGAAAUGUAAGUCAUUUUCUGUUGCUAUGUAGGGUGAUUGGUGUUUAUCUGCCUAUCUGUCUUUGUCUGCCUGCCUGCCUCUGUUUCUCAUGUUUCCAAAGCAAUGAUCACACUGGUAUAUUAGUUCCGGGGACAUCCUCAGGUUCCUGUUCCAUGUGUUGUAUGUUUCUUUCAACUCUGAUGUUUUACAAUUGCUCCUUUCUCUGUUUUUGUCAUUGAGGUUCAUCAAGCAAGUAUUCUUUGAACUGCUCAAAUACUUGCAUGCUCCACUUGUUCAGAAAGGUUUAUUCCUUACGUUAGUAAAUUGAGGGAGUUUCAUACCCAAAAGGCAGACCCA